UGAAUACGAGAUGCUACGGCGUCGAAGCAGUCUAUGUCAUACUUCCAAGAAAAGCUUGCACUGUCAUAAACAAAUAAUGCCUGUACCAUAACCGACACAGGUGGGUAGGUAGAGUAUACUAAGGGGCGCGAGAUAACUCUCUCUAAGGAACUCGGCAAAAUGACUCCGUAACCUCGGGAGAAGGAGUGCCUUAUUUAUAAGGUUGCAAUAACAAGAUCCAAGCAACUGUUUACCAAAAACACAGGUCUCCGCUAAGUCGUAAGACGAUGUAUGGGGGCUGACGCCUGCCCAGUGCCAGAAGGUUAAAGAAGUUGGUUAGCAUCCGCGAAGCUGAUAACUGAAGCCCUGGUGAACGGCGGCCGUAACAAUAACGGUCCUAAGGUAGCGAAAUUCCUUGUCGGGUAAGUUCCGACCCGCACGAAAGGCGUAAUGAUUUGGAUACUGUCUCGGAGAGGGGCUCGGUGAAAUAGACUUGUCUGUGAAGAUGCGGACUACCUGCACCAGGACAGAAAGACCCUAUGAAGCUUUACUGUAACCUGAAAUUGAAAUUGGACUUUACUUGCGCAGUAUAGGUGGGAGGCGUUGAGAAUAUUCUUGCGGGAUUAUUGGAGCCAUCAGUGAGAUACCACUCUUGUAAUGUUAGAUUUCUAACUUUGUAUCAUUAUCUGGUCAAAGAACAGUUUCAGGCGGGCAGUUUGACUGGGGCGGUCGCCUCCUAAACGGUAACGGAGGCGCACAAAGGUUUCCUCUGAACGGGUAGAAAUCGUAUCUAGAGUGUAAAGGCAUAAGGAAGCUUGACUGUGAGACCUACAAGUCGAGCAGGGACGAAAGUCGGUCUUAGUGAUCUGACGGUGCUGAGUGGAAAGGCCGUCACUCAACGGAUAAAAGUUACUCUAAGGAUAACAGGCUGAUCUCCCCCAAGAGUUCACAUCGACGGGGAGGUUUGGCACCUCGAUGUCGGCUCAUCGCAUCCUGGGGCGGUAGUACGUCCCAAGGGUUGGGCUGUUCGCCCAUGAAAGCGGUACGCGAGCUGGGUUCAGAACGUCGUGAGACAGUUCGGUCCAUAUCCGGUGUAGGCGUUAGAAUAUUGAGAGGAGCCUUCUUUAGUACGAGAGGACCGAGAAGGACAUACCUCUGGUGUACCAGUUAUCGUGCCAACGGUAAACGCUGGGUAGCUAUGUGUGGAGUGGAUAACCGCUGAAAGCAUCUAAGUGGGAAGCCCACCUCAAGAUAAG
rnacentral:rRNA from 1 species